rnacentral:lncRNA from 1 species
GAACCGCGGAGACGCAGUAACUGUGGCAGGCGUUUGUAAUCUCGGUUCUCAGGGAGGCUGAAGGAUCGCAAAUUUGAACCCAGUUCGGGCAAUUUAGUGACUUGAGGAAACCCUGUCUCAAAAAUUUUUUUAAAAAAUGGGCCGUGGAUGUAGCGCAGUGCGAAGGCGUUGGGUUCAAUCACCAUCAUCAUUAAAAAGAAAAAGACGUGAUUUUAAAAGUGAGUCCUUUGAUGCUUCUGGACAAUUUUAUGUAGUUAUAUCCUUGACAUUUAAAAUUUUAACAGGUUCCUCACUGUGUAACGGCAGAAGGGAAAUACCAACAGGCACCCAGGACUUGGAGGCAGAAAGCAAACUAUUUAUGUCGACGGGCCUGGUUGGGAUAAUUCCUCAGAGAACCAGGCAACUGUCUUUUGUCUGUCUACAGUUUAUAUAGGUUUUGCAAGCAGGAACUAGUAUAGAAGCAGAGCUAGCAGUUGAUUGGUUACAUAUCAUUAUUACUGAGUGGUCUAUACCAAGUUCAAACUUGGGGUAAGAAACAUUAAUUUUAGGGUAAGGUCGGCUAGAUAAGGGAGACACAUAUUUGGAGUAUGCAUCAGUUCAGGGCAGGGUCUGUCAAGGAGGAAUUUGCCUGGGCUGAGAAGUAAAACUGCUUACGGCCUGGACUGGGGCCCCACCUGUAUUAUCCUUCUGCCCCAGCAGCACCAGGUGGCAGUGGCACUGGCAGAGAGGGGGAGUUAGAGACCCUUGUACCCGUCCUCACCACCUGCACCAGGCCUCAGAGAGGCACCGGACAGCCAGAGACUGGCGCUGUAUCAGAAAUGCAUCGCAUAAAGGGGCAACGACUUAGCUCAGUUGUGGAGGGCGGUGUUAGCUAUGAAGAUUCCAUUUUAACUUUGCCCUCCACUGUAAAGGACAAGAUAUCAGCUCUGGGAAUACUCUGUCCCUGCCAAGCCAAAUGCUUAUCUUUAAAGAUUGUCCUGUGUCAUGAUGAAUGUACCCAGAGAUAUAAAGAACUAAAAGAACAGGGAAAUUCUAGAGAAUGGGGAAAUUCCAAAGAAAAGAGAAGUGGGUGUUUCUGUAUCAAGGCCAGGACUAAAAAUAGCCACAGCCUGUUCAGUGUAUAAAAGAUCCAGAAAAAAUAAACCUGGGCUCUCAAUCUCUCUGGGAGCCCUCCCGACUCUAUCUCUGUGUCUUUCUUUUUCUUCAUCCUCACUCCCCCAUUCAGGUGCUGUUCGACAUGUGACGGUGGGCUCUGUCACUCAGUGGUUAUUCCACUCUGCCUCUCAAGUACAAGGACCCGAGUUCGAUCCUUGGUACCAAAAAAGAAAAAAAGAGGCCAAAGAAAUGCAUCAUAUAGGGAUCCUACAACUUUGAUGAGUCACCCAAGCUCCUGAGCGGGAAGACUGCUGGACUCCAGAGGACCAGGAAUCAACAAAUGUAGUGAGCCAAAGGAGGGUCACCAAAAGGGAACAUUCCUUGAAGAUGCGGCUCCAAGACAAAGAGAAUUGACUACACCCACAUACUUCCCCUAGGGGAGGAAGAAAGGAGAUUGAUAUUCUAAAUAGGCAUCAAUCACCUUGCGUGGGGACCAAAGCCGCCC